rnacentral:miRNA from 1 species
UUAGGUUGGUGCAAAUGUAAUUGUGGUUUUUGCCAUUGAAAGUAAGGGCAAAAGCUGCAAUUACGUUUGUACUAACCUAAUA